rnacentral:rRNA from 1 species
UACAGAGGAUGCAAGCGUUAUCCGGAAUGAUUGGGCGUAAAGCGUCUGUAGGUGGCUUUUAAGUCCGCCGUCAAAUCCAGGCUCAACUCUGGACAGGCGGUGGAAACUACCAAGCUGGAGUACGGUAGGGGCAGAGGGAAUUUCCGGUGGAGCGGUGAAAUGCGUAGAGAUCGGAAAGAACACCAACGGCGAAAGCAACUCUGCUGGGCCGACACUGACACUGAGAGACGAAAGCUAGGGGAGCGAAUGGG